CAAAUGAUCGUGUCUUCUGAAGAUGCCUUCGCGUUUCCAGAUCCACGAAAUUGAUGUUUCCAAUCCAUCACGCAAAACCGAAUCUGCAUAACAGGUAAAUAAUUAGCGAUGAAAAAGAAAUAUAAAACUAAUUUGUUGAUGAAAAAUCAAAUCAAAAACCAGCUCAACAGCACAGCAAAUCAUCAAUUCAAAACAAUAAUUAGCGAUGAAAAAGAAAUAUAAAACUAAUUUGUUGAUGAAAAAUCAAAUCAAAAACCAGCUCAACAGCACAGCAAAUCACCAAUUCAAAACAAACCUUCAGAAAAAUAAUUAAAACAAGCAACGCCAACGAAUAACGGCCAACCAAAUCAAAUAUGAACACACACGAAAGCAGAUUCAAGUUACCUUCACCGAUUCGAUCUAUCCGCCCAACAAAGCUGCAGAUCUACCCAAACCUCGGCGUUUCACAGCCUCAGAUCUACCCAAACCAGGCGACCGACACAUCAACAGGCGGAAAAUCGAAGGCAUAACAAAACAGGGAAAAUCCAUAUUCAAAACGUAGAUCGCCUCACGAUCUAAACGAAUCUGACGGAAAAAACAAGAAGAGGACAAAUCCGGCGUGAAGAAAGAGAAGACAAGCCUGCAGAUCUAGGCGGCUACAGAAAUGAAUGGAAGACUGGCUGUGAUGAAAUGAAAAGAUAAAAGAGUGUA
rnacentral:lncRNA from 1 species